rnacentral:lncRNA from 1 species
UAAAAAGCACUACGAUGGCGCUGUGGCAUUUUCUGUAGCAAAUAUUGCUCAGUGUUAUAAGUAUGUUUAAAAAGUUUAUAUGUUCUCAAUUUACAACCGGUACUAUAUGAAAACAUUCUUGUACACCAGUCUUUUUUAUAUUUAUCAAACAGUUUCUCUUCUAACUGAGAUAUACUAUAACUAUCAAGAAAAUUUUCUUUUAUUUUACAAUAUCUGUCAAAAUCAAAGGAUUUCAACAUCUCCAUAACUUUGUAGCACCAUUUUUUUUAAUUUACAACUACCUUUCAUCACUGACCAUUUAAAAACUUUAUAAUUAAUUCUAUUAUUGU